rnacentral:rRNA from 1 species
AGCGGCGGAUGGGUGAGUAACACGUGGGGAACCUGCCCCUAAGUCUGGGAUACCAUUUGGAAACAGGUGCUAAUACCGGAUAAUAAAGCAGAUCGCAUGAUCAGCUUUUGAAAGGCGGCGUAAGCUGUCGCUAAGGGAUGGCCCCGCGGUGCAUUAGCUAGUUGGUAAGGUAACGGCUUACCAAGGCGACGAUGCAUAGCCGAGUUGAGAGACUGAUCGGCCACAUUGGGACUGAGACACGGCCCAAACUCCUACGGGAGGCAGCAGUAGGGAAUCUUCCACAAUGGACGCAAGUCUGAUGGAGCAACGCCGCGUGAGUGAAGAAGGUUUUCGGAUCGUAAAGCUCUGUUGUUGGUGAAGAAGGAUAGAGGUAGUAACUGGCCUUUAUUUGACGGUAAUCAACCAGAAAGUCACGGCUAACUACGUGCCAGCAGCCGCGGUAAUACGUAGGAGGCAAGCGUUGUCCGGAUUUAUUGGGCGUAAAGCGAGCGCAGGCGGAAAAAUAAGUCUAAUGUGAAAGCCCUCGGCUUAACCGAGGAACUGCAUCGGAAACUGUUUUUCUUGAGUGCAGAGGAGGAGAGUGGAACUCCAUGUGUAGCGGUGGAAUGCGUAGAUAUAUGGAAGAACACCAGUGGCGAAAGCGGCUCUCUGGUCUGCAACUGAUGCUGAGGCUCGAAAGCAUGGGUAGCGAACAGGAUUAGAUACCCUGGGUAGUCCAUGCC